rnacentral:rRNA from 1 species
UACCAGCUCUCCGAGUGGUAGGGAUGAUUAUUGGGCUUAAAGCGUCCGUAGCCGGCUUAGCAAGUUUCCUGUUAAAUUCAGCGACCUAAUCGUUGAGCCGCGGGAAAUACUACUAGGCUAGGAGGCGGGAGAGGUCGACGGUACUUCUGGGGUAGGGGUGAAAUCCUAUAAUCCCGGGAGGACCACCAGUGGCGAAGGCUGUCGACUAGAACGCGCUCGACGGUGAGGGACGAAAGCUGGGGGAGCGAACCGGAUUAGAUACCCGGGUAGUCCCAGCUGUAAACGAUGCGGGCUAGGUGUUGGGGUGGCUACGUGCCACUUCAGUGCCGCAGGGAAGCCAUUAAGCUCGCCGCCUGGGGAGUACGGCCGCAAGGCUGAAACUUAAGGAAUUGGCGGGGAGCACCACAAGGCGUGAAGCUUGCGGUUC